CCUCGUCUCAAAGAGCCCGUUCUUUGUUUGGUCCCCUCUCUGCUCCAUCUGUCAUUUUUUUCUGAGCCACCUCCUUGCCGUCAGCACCCGAGGAGAACACAGGUGGUUCCUGUAUUUAAAAAUCAAACCAACUCCCUCCCCCUUUCCCCAUGUCCCCUUCCCCAACCACCUCGCUCCUACGCUCAUUAUCUUCGUUCCCCACCGCAGUCCGCCUGCUACCACCGGUCCGCUACAGUGUUCUCACCAGGGACCUCAUUGCUGUUAAGCCCAGAGGAGUCCUCACCUUGCUGGACAGCAUCUGACCCUGCCCAGCAGUCCUCGACUUCAGGAAACAUCACCUUGAUUUCGAUGACGACCAAGUCCUCUGAUUUUCUCCGACUUCUCUGGAUACAUCCUGUCAGUCUUUUUCAAGUCACCCAUUCCCUACGUGUUGGGGUCUUCGGGGGGCGCUAAGCUAUCUUCUCCGGUCACCGUACACACUCUCGCUAGAUACCUCUCACCUUGGGAAGCCUGGUGUAAUCUUCUCAGACGACUUCUACACACUCCAUCAUCUCUACGGUCUCCAUGCAGCCACCACGCUGGGUCCCUGUCCCAGAGAACAGAGGGCCUUUCCAGAAGAAGCAAAGGUUCUCCUCAUGUACCGCUUUUGCAGGAAGAAACAGAGAAGGCAGAUAUCUUAAUGCCUGACCAGGGGCCGGCCGUGGUCCCCCCGCUCCCCAUCUGCUAGAAAGUUUCCACACCCACUGGGAGUCCAGCCUGCUGGAACCAGGGUGGACCUUUGAGUGUUUCUGUGGACUAGAAGACCUGAGUUUCCACUGAAUUCGAUUAUUAAUUAGCUGUGCAAUCCAGGGCACAUCACUCUCCUUCUCUGACUCUCACUUCCUCUCUGUAAUUAAGGAAUUUGGACUAAAUGAUCUCUUAAGUUCUUUUUAGCUCCACUGUUCUAUUCUCACUUUCUAAGUUGCCAUUUAUAGAUGUGGAAAGGUAGGGGCACCUGGGUGGCUCAGACGGUGAAGUGUCCGACUUCAGCUCAGGUCAUGAUCUCACGGCUUGUGAGUUC